AGCAGUGGUACUCAACGCAGGGAACGUUUUCCUUUUCCGGCGGAGAGGGCCGGCGGGACCCGCACCGCAACGGCGGCACGGGAAGGGAGGCCUGAGGGCCCGGCGGUCGCCGUGGAGCUCCGGGCGGAGAGGCGCACACGUGUGCGGUGACCUGCUGCUCCUGAGCCGGCUCGGGAAGCUGCAGCUGUGCAGGGCCACGAGGCGUUUCGGGGCAAGUGAAAGCGGGCUGGAGUAACGGCCUGGUGGGCCUCGUGUAGCUGUGACCGCGGGCGUAACGUAGGCAUCGGGCUGUGAACACAGCAAGGGAUGCACCCGAGUACGGUUAAAAAACGCUUUUGGGGUUGCUGUGUCUAACAGCGAAGCUGAUGCUCUUCAUGCUGUACAAUUAAAGAGUCAGUGCGGUUUUUAAAGAACACAACAUCAGCUGCAGAAUUCUGUGAAACAGGAGAAAUCAAAAUUGUUUUUUGCUCUACCAUGUGGUAGCCUACAGCAAAAGUAAUGGCAGGCAGUGGAUGCGGUAGUACAGGUAAACAAAAGGAUUCACAGGCAGCGGUCCUCACAGUGCUAGGUUGUGUAGGUGAAUGAUAUAAAUCUUUUAACUUUUUUUUUGAAUUUAACAAGUUGUUCAGGUCUUUGUUAUUUCCAUAUUGUCAAAUCAAGUUCAGCCUUGUAACUUUUAAACUGCUUGCUGCUAUAUCUCCGCUUUGGGUUCUCUAUUGGGCUGGUUCUACAGCUUACAGAUUUAAUAAAGUUUUCAAAAGA